AGGAUUAACGCUGGCGGCGUGCCUAACACAUGCAAGUCGAACGAGGUAGCAAUACCUAGUGGCAGACGGGUGAGUAACACGUGGUCAACCUACCGCUUUGUGGGGGAUAACUAGCCGAAAGGUUAGCUAAUACCGCAUACGUCGCAGGCCGGCAUCGGUCGACGAUAAAAGGAGCAAUCCGCAAGGUGACGGGACCGCGUCCCAUUAGCUAGUUGGUGAGGUAAUGGCCCACCAAGGCUCCGAUGGGUAGCUGGUUUGAGAGAGCGACCAGCCACACUGGGACUGAGAUACGGCCCAGACUCCUACGGGAGGCAGCAGUGAGGAAUUUUCCGCAAUGGGCGAAAGCCUGACGGAGCGACGCCGCGUGUGGGAAGAAGGCCUUCGGGUCGUAAACCACUGUCGAAGGGGAAGAUAUUGACGGUACCCUUGGAGGAAGCCCCGGCUAACUACGCGCCAGCAGCCGC
rnacentral:rRNA from 1 species